GAACAACUGAGGGUCAGCGGGGGGAAAAAGCUCCCGCAAUGUCACAUUUUCGUCGAUCACGAACUUCUUCUGGGCUCAGCAUUUAUGGAUUAGCUUCUUUCUGCAGUGCAGGGUGACAGACUCAGUCUAUGGCAAUCCAGCUUCAGACACAUUUUGAAAGACAAAAAUCACGACUCGUAGAAAUCCAGAGAUAAAGAUUAAAGUCUGUGGCUUGCCAUGGUAAGAAGACUUCUUAUCACCAAGCAACGCUAACUACACAAAAAAGUCCCCAAAGCCUCAGAAACCAGCAGAAACUCUCUACACUCCCUCCUCUACCAUGCAGCCAGUCAUCAACAGCCCUCCUCCACCCUGGGAGAGCUGCUGUCUGUCCUCUGCGGUAGGUAAAACAGGGGGUCACUCGAGUGAAUACACCAAG